rnacentral:lncRNA from 1 species
GCAAUUGUUAAUUGACAAAAUCAACAGUUUGCAAUGGCAAUUUGUCUCAGGACUUGAAUCCCAUUGAAAACCUAUGGUUUGAAUUGAAGAGGGCAGUCCAUAAGCGCAGACUAAGGAUUUUUGCUCAUCUUUAUAAUGAGUACAUUUUUUUACCCCAUUGUAUAACCUCACCCACAGUUCAGUCCAUUUACUAAAUAUGGGCAAGCAGGAGCUGCAGGGGUGAUUUUACACUCUGCUAAACACAGGCCUCCCUGUGGGCAGUGACACUUCACACGAACAAAGUUAAAUGUUCUGGCCAUGCUGAAAUCCUUAUACACAGGUCUCCCUGUGGGCAGUGACACUUCACACGUACAAAGUUAAACGUUCUGGCCAUGCUGAAAUCCUUAUACACAGGUCUCCCUGUGGGCAAUGACACUUCACACGUACAGAGUUAAACGUUCUGGCCGUGCUGAAGUCCUUAUACACAGGUCUCCCUGUGGGCAAUGACACUUCACACGUACAAAGUUAAAUGUUCUGGCCAUGCUGAAAUCCUUAUGUGGUGAGUGAUGAAGUCACAAAGUCUUUGCAAAAAACACAGGACUGUAAAAUUCACAGUUUAAUAAAGAGACUUGUGGAUAAGGUUAUGGGUUAGAAAAAUACACAACACAGCACGAAAAGGGAAGUGUUUUGUUUCUGACUGAUGAACCCAAUUGGCCACUGCUGCCUUACAUUAUUCUUUCAACAACAGCUCUAGCUAGAGAAGGGUGAUUUUGUCAGCGUCUAUGCACUAUUGGGGCGGCAGGUAGCCUAGUGGUUAGAGCGUUGGGCCAGUAACCCAAAAGGUUGCUAGGUUGAAUCCCAGAGCUGACGAGGUAAAAGUCUGUCGUUCUGCCCCUGAACAAGGCAGUUAACCCACUGUUCUUAGGCCGUCAUUGUAAAUAAUAAUUUGCCUAGUUAAAUAAAGGUUAAAUUCCAAGUCAACCUCUAGCCCUAGGUGCUUAGCCUUGUCUCAGCUCUCUGCUUUAGGGAUGUCCAAUGAAAAUCAUUGUCAGG